UUAAAUUUUGGUACAAGGCUUGCAAUUUUGGGAGUGGGGCAAAUCUAUUACUUCGACCCCAGCCUUCAACUGAUACUUAUUUUAUCAACCCUGAAAGGAUGAAAAGCAAAGUUGACCUCGGCGGAAUUUGAACUCAGAAC